UAAAACGUAGGACACAAGCGUUAUCCGGAGUUACUGGGCGUAAAGGGCGUGUAGGCGGGAGGAUAAGUCUACUCUGAAAGCUCCUGGCUAAACUGGGAGAGGCGAGUGGAGACUGUCGUUCUAGAGUGAGGAAGAGGAAAGUGGAAUUCCGCGUGUAGUGGUGAAAUGCGUAGAGAUGCGGAGGAACACCAGUGGCGAAAGCGACUUUCUGGUCCUUAACUGACGCUGAGGCGCGAAAGCAUGGGGAGCGAACGGGAUUAGAAACCCCGGUAGUCCAUGCCAUAAACGAUGUUCACUAAACGUUCGUUUCCCGCGAGGGAAGCGGGUGUUGAAGCUAACGCAGUAAGUGAACCGCCUGGGGAGUACGGUCGCAAGGCU
rnacentral:rRNA from 1 species